GCGUCACUAGUGCAACGGGAUAGAGCACACGCUCCGCCAUAGAGUGAGAUGCGGGUUCGAGUCCCGAGUGAUACA